rnacentral:rRNA from 1 species
CGGACGGGUGAGUGACACGUGGAUAACCUACCUAUAAGACUGGGAUAACUUCGGGAAACCGGAGCUAAUACCGGAUAAUAUAUUGAACCGCAUGGUUCAAUAGUGAAAGACGGUUUUGCUGUCACUUAUAGAUGGAUCCGCGCCGCAUUAGCUAGUUGGUAAGGUAACGGCUUACCAAGGCAACGAUGCGUAGCCGACCUGAGAGGGUGAUCGGCCACACUGGAACUGAGACACGGUCCAG